GAUGAACGCUGGCGACGUGCCUAAUACAUGCAAGUCGAGCGAACAGACGAGGAGCUUGCUCCUCUGACGUUAGCGGCGGACGGGUGAGUAACACGUGGAUAACCUACCUAUAAGACUGGGAUAACUUCGGGAAACCGGAGCUAAUACCGGAUAAUAUAUUGAACCGCAUGGUUCAAUAGUGAAAGACGGUUUUGCUGUCACUUAUAGAUGGAUCCGCGCCGCAUUAGCUAGUUGGUAAGGUAACGGCUUACCAAGGCAACGAUGCGUAGCCGACCUGAGAGGGUGAUCGGCCACACUGGAACUGAGACACGGUCCAGACUCCUACGGGAGGCAGCAGUAGGGAAUCUUCCGCAAUGGGCGAAAGCCUGACGGAGCAACGCCGCGUGAGUGAUGAAGGUCUUCGGAUCGUAAAACUCUGUUAUUAGGGAAGAACAAAUGUGUAAGUAACUAUGCACGUCUUGACGGUACCUAAUCAGAAAGCCACGGCUAACUACGUG
rnacentral:rRNA from 1 species